UGGUUAUGGUGUGGAUAAUCUCUUAGUAGCCCCUUGAAUCGCUCCCAGACUACAUAAAGUGAUUCACCUUCUCUCUAUUUGAAUGCAACUAUCUCACUUCUUAUCUU
rnacentral:snoRNA from 1 species